AUGAAGGACUCCUCCGUGUCCUCCCACUCCUCCUCGUCCCCACAGCAGCUCCUGAAGUCGUCCUCGCCUCUCGAGUUGGCAGCGACGUCCUCGCCUCUCGAGUUGCCAGCGGCUUCCUCAGCGCUCGGAUUGCCAGCGGAGCCAUCGCCAGCAUCAUACAGCCUCUCCUCCAUCCUCAAACCCAAUCCAGUCAAAAUGACCUUCCCUCUUAAAAAUCAGCUAAAAAAUCAUUUCAUCCCCAAUUAUAGCAAUCUGGUCCGACAAGUACCCUCACAGGUUGGGAAUCAGGAACAGCGCGAGAUUCCUGCUCAGAAGUUGACGGAGAAGAUGGCCAGGAAGCACCAGGCGGAGCUCCACAGCGCGAAUUCCACCGCGGCGAUGGCGAAAUUGGCCGGGACCGCCACCAAAUCUACCCAGACGUUGGAGCCCUCCACGAAUCUCCAGUUACUCAUGCGCGGCGCUCGAUGA
rnacentral:rRNA from 1 species